rnacentral:rRNA from 1 species
UACGUAGGGUGCGAGCGUUGUCCGGAAUUAUUGGGCGUAAAGGGCUCGUAGGCGGUUUGUCGCGUCGGGAGUGAAAACCUCGGGCUUAACUCGGGGCUUGCUUUCGAUACGGGCAGACCAGAGGUAUGCAGGGGAGAACGGAAUUCCUGGUGUAGCGGUGAAAUGCGCAGAUAUCAGGAGGAACACCGGUGGCGAAGGCGGCUCACUGGUCCGGUACUGACGCUGAGGCGCGAAAGCCAGGGGAGCGAACGGG